AAGGUGCAAUAGACAGGUAAUAUAUAAGGUUCAGCAGCAGACUGGUUGAUCAAGAGUUAGAGGAGAAGCAAUAGAGGGUUAGAGGAACUUUUGAAACCAGCCACUGCUUUGGGACAAAGAUUGAAAAUGGGACUUAAAGGAAUCUUGAUGAUCCUACUAAUGCUAAAUGCAAGUACAACGCUGACGAC